AGUGAACGCUGGCGGUAGGCCUAACACAUGCAAGUCGAACGGCAGCACAGUAAGAGCUUGCUCUUACGGGUGGCGAGUGGCGGACGGGUGAGGAAUACAUCGGAAUCUACUUUUUCGUGGGGGAUAACGUAGGGAAACUUACGCUAAUACCGCAUACGACCUACGGGUGAAAGCAGGGGUUCUUCGGACCUUUCGCGAUUGAAUGAGCCGCUUUCGGAUUAGCUAGUUGGCGGGGUAAAGGCCCACUAAGGCGACGAUCCGUAUCUGGUCUGAGAGGAUGAUCAGCAACACUGGAACUGAGACACGUUCCCUACUCCUACGGGAGGCAGCAGUGGGGAAUAUUGGACAAUGGUCGCAAGCCUGAUCCAGCCAUACCGCGUGGGUGAAGAAGGCCUUCUGGUUGUAAAGCCCUUUUGUUGGGAAAGAAAAGCAGCAGGUUAAUACCCCGCUGUUCUGACGGUACCCAAAGAAUAAGCACCGGCUAACUUCGUG
rnacentral:rRNA from 1 species